AUGGUGGCUCAGCGACUGCGUAUUAGGCGUGUAGCUAGAGUAUCAAAUAACUCCUUUCACUGCUCUCUCUCACUCUCAUUUCUUUAAUUGGGUAAGCUCUGUUUUUAAAGAAUUUUAUAAGUUUGCUGUUGUAUGCAUACCGUUUGAUUGAUUUUGUUUUUAUAUAUUUGCAAUGGAAUUAAAAAAAUAAAAUAAAAAUCCUUACUUUGUAUUUUGAUUGGAUCCGAUUUUGAUUUUAUUGGAACCCGAAACGGAUUUCUAAUUAUGGGAAAAAAGAAUAACGAUCCGUGUCCUGCACACAACCUGUUCGAUGGAAUGCUCAUGAGUAGAUCUUCACAUCAAACUUCAAAGAGGAGGGAUAUAUGCAGAGAUGUUGAAGAGGGACCAGCUUUGCAUCCUUGAUUUCAUGAUCUUGUUGGUGGAUUAAGAUCAAAAUGCCUCACCGAACAAGGCCUACGACUGCACUCUUGGUUUUCAUGGGAGUUAAUGUUGUCUUGGUGUCGACAAUCACUCCGGUUUAUGAUUUUGUGUGCUUCCAUCCUUACUGGGAAAGAAGGAGAGAAUGUCGUCGCCAGGAACGUGAAGCUGCCAUGGCAAAGGGUCCCCAGUCAAGUUAAAGGGGUGGUUUUCAGACACAGAUAUUCUUUCAUACAGCUCGAGGAAGAAGAAAAGAAAAGGCUUUUUAUUGUUGUUAUGGUGUUUGUUUUCACUCUAUGUGGGUGUGAUUGUUUGUUGAAGAAGAAUAAUAUGAUCUUCAACCUGAGAAAUGCACAUCCUACUUUUGGUUU